rnacentral:rRNA from 1 species
UACGAAGGUGGCAAGCGUUUGUCCGGAUUUACUGGGCGUAAAGGGCGUGCAGGCGGUUUGUUAAGUGCAGGGUGAAAGCUCCCGGCUCAACUGGGAGAGGUCCUUGCAUACUGGCAGACUUGAGGGAGGCAGAGGAAAGUGGAAUUCCCGGUGUAGUGGUGAUAUGCGUAGAUAUCGGGAGGAACACCUGUGGCGAAGGCGGCUUUCUGGGCCUUACCUGACGCUGAGAACGCGAAAGCGUGGGGAGCGAACCGG